rfam:Otolemur garnettii contig109629, whole genome shotgun sequence.
GGAGAUGGAAGGGCAACCUGGCUGCUCUAGUUCUCACCUAUUGAUUUUUCAGAGUUGAUUCUGCUUAUCUGAUUGGUUAGGUGAGAUCCCCUUUCUUCCUCAACCCUCCAUUUACAUCUUUCCCAAACCUUAGUCAAAAAGUAUGACCUUCCCAUAUAGAGCCCAAAUCAUCUAUACUCAAGUUGUUGAAUUCCCUAAGUAUACUUUCAAAACUUUUGAGGCUUUUUGAGUGUAGCUAAUUCCAUGCAAUUCACUUCUGUGUCUUCUAC